rnacentral:lncRNA from 1 species
CUUAAAGGCAAAAAUACAUUUUUACAGCAAGAAAAUGUCUAUGCCAGGCACGUUGCACCAAGUAAAUAUAAAACAAAGAUAAUUACUUUAUCACCCUUUGAUGAUGAAGAUGUAUCUUUUGAAGACUUUUCAUCUUACAUGACUGAACGCCCAAAAGUACUUCAUAGACCAUCUAAGACUAGGCCAGGUUUUUAUAAAGCCAUCAAUUUUCCUUCACUGAAUAAAGAACAUUCAGGGCAUCAAAAAAGAUCAACCUUAGAAAAAAAGAAUAUUGAACAUGAAGAGACUCUGCCCACUGUGAUUGCUACAACUAGAAAACCUGUCUAUAAAGUUUUCCUUUAAAGUGCCAUAUACAACUGCCUGAAAAUCUCCACCCCACCCAUACUUUUGAAAAUAAAUUAAUUCUGGGCAAAAUAAAUAAUGUGAGC